UUCUUUCUCUCUUAAAUUUCGUGGGUAUGGGGUUUUGGGAGAUAUGAUGGGUGGUUUUGUUAGUUUUCUGCUGUGUAAUGAUUAUUUGUGAAGGAACUUGUUGAAAGCUUGUUGAAAUUGCCAUGUUUGGAUGAGUUAGACAUACCCAUUCUGUUUUAGGGUUUUGUGAUGAUGUUUAUAUGCUGAAAUUGCCUAUGGAAACUGUUAGAGACGAAGGGUAGAGUUAACCUAGGGUUGGAAAGUGAGAAUGUGGUGUUAUGAGUGGAAAAAGAGUGAGGCUUUGAGAGUUGGAAGGUUAAGUCUGAAUUCUGUGGUAAAUGGAGGUUAAAAUGAGUUAAUCCUAGCUUGAAAUGUCAUUUAGGACAUGUGAGAAAAGUUAGGCUGUGCUAGAGGGAAAAACAAAUGACCAAAGUGAACAAAGAGCCAUUUCUAGGGCAAAAUUGGGUGUUGAAGAGUCAAAUUUUGAUUCAGUGGAAUUUUAGGUGUAAAUUCAGUUUGAGCAAGUUUAGAUGGAUGUUAUGGACUGGUGUGAGGUGAGAGUUUGCUUCAAAUUUACCUCAUUCUAAAUUUC
rnacentral:lncRNA from 1 species